CCUACGGGGGGCAGCAGUGAGGAAUAUUGGUCAAUGGACGAGAGUCUGAACCAGCCAAGUAGCGUGAAGGAUGACUGCCCUAUGGGUUGUAAACUUCUUUUAUAUGGGAAUAAAACGUUCCACGUGUGGGAUUUUGUAUGUACCAUAUGAAUAAGGAUCGGCUAACUCCGUGCCAGCAGCCGCGGUAAUACGGAGGAUCCGAGCGUUAUCCGGAUUUAUUGGGGUUAAAGGGAGCGUAGGUGGAUUGUUAAGUCAGUUGUGAAAGUUUGCGGCUCAACCGUAAAAUUGCAGUUGAAACUGGCAGUCUUGAGUACAGUAGAGGUGGGCGGAAUGCGUGGUGUAGCGGUGAAAUGCUUAGAUAUCACGAAGAACUCCGAUUGCGAAGGCAGUUCACUGGACUGCAACUGACACUGAGGCUCGAAAGUGUGGGUAUCAAACAGGAUUAGAUACCCCAGUAGUC
rnacentral:rRNA from 1 species